rnacentral:lncRNA from 1 species
AAGCCAGCGCGAGUGGGACACGGCGCCGGGGGGCGGCAGAGGGGUGAGGGCCGCGGCUAUGUGACCGGCGCAUGCGCAGAUAGGGGUACCCGCCCGUUCACCUACCCUUGGAACCGCGACGCCCCGUUCCCCGGCCGCGGCCGCUUCUCCAGGACCCGCGGCGACUGCAAGAGGGCGAAAACUGAGGCCCCAAGUGACUCCGCGACCGGCGAGCCUCUUCCUGUGGCGGCCACUGGCGGGAGGCUGAGGCGACGACUGUGGCUCGGGGCCAGCCCGGUAGGCGACCCCCGGAUGCCCCCGGCCGUGGCGGCGGCGGAGACGCGGAAGACGGGGCGGGAGCAGCCACGGAGGCAGCGACUGAGGCGCAGAGCCUCCCUAACAGCGAGCGGAGGAGAGCGGAGGGCGGAGGGCGCAGGGCGGGCUGGGGCCGGGCCGGACGUGACGUGCGUGGGAGGGGGCGGGGCGGGCCCGCGGGCUGGGGCGGGGCGAGUGCGCAGUGAGAGCUGGGGACCCCUCACAGACGCUGAGAGCUGAUGUGAAGUCUGUGCACUUAGAGUCCGGGUUGGGGGUGAAGGAGGGUCCGUCACUCCAAAUUUAGGCCCCCGAGUUAGAGUUGAGAAGCAGGGCGCGGACCCGAGGGAGGUGUCUGGGGGUCCUCAGUCUGGAGAGGUUGGAAAAAAAGAGGAAAGUGGGGAGGAGACGUAGGAGUCAUGAAGGGCAAAUCCCGCAGCCCGAGGUCACUCCUGGUCUCUGCAGAGGGAACAUGCCACUUUGCAGGAAACCAGAAAAACCCUGGUACCCUUAUCUAGGUGAGGAGCGCGGAGACUUGAACAGAAAACCUCCGGGCAGAUUGAAGAGGUGACUCACGUUCUCUUUCUCAGCGAUGGAGAUUAAACUGGGGACUCUGUCCGCCCGCACCCUUUCUCUUCACCUAAGGACACGACCUAGAGUCCAGAGAUAAUAUAGAUGCCUUUGGUGCCGAAAGCAUCCGGGAAUAUGAAAGUCGAGAGACCAUAUGCUUACAUAGAGUUUCCUAUACUGAUCCAGAAUUUGAGAGGCAAAGCUGAAAGUCAGAAAGAAUGAGGAACUCUCUGAGCCUAGGGAAUCUGGACUUGCUUGCAAAGCCAGACCGACCGUGCAGUUCCUUCCUUCAUACCGCCUUCAUAAAGGUAUGAAUAUUCAGCCAGUCUCUCUCUCUCUUUUAUAUAUAUAUUUUUUUGCUUUAGUCUGUUAAGGGCUUUGAGUAAAACGCAGUUUUCUGCCUUUAGAUUCCUUGAUAGCAGGUAGGUAGAUCCACGCCUGCACAAAGAACUCUGGGUGUCAGUAAAAAUGUUUAGUCGCUAAGUCGUGUCCAACUCUGUGACCCCAUGCACUGUAGCCCACCAGGCUCCUCUGUCCAUGGUAUUUCCCAGGCAAGAAUNNNNNNGUGGGUUGCCAUUUCUUUCUCCAGGGGAUCUUCCUGAUCCAGGGAUCAAAGCUGCAUCUCCUGCAUUGGCAGGUUGAUUCUUUACCACUAAGCCAUCUGGGAGGCCCCUGUGAAAAUAUAAACCACUACAAUUCAGUUUUACCCUACCUGCCUGGGCUGGAAGUCAGAAACCCAGAAAAUAUAAGAGAAGAAACCUCUUAGAACUUGGAACAAGAUUGACC